GAUUAUACUUAAAUUUCAUUAUGAUUUAGAACAUACAAAAUAUACAAUGUAUGAUUAAAUGCAUGUUUUUGAAGCAUUUUGUUUCUGUUUUAAUAAUGUUGUCAUAUAUUUUUAUAUUGGCGCCUCAAUUAAAGUGUUAAAAAGCCAAAUUAUUGAUUUUUUAUGCCCCACCUACGAUAGUAGAGGGGCAUUAUGUUUUCUGGUCUAUGGCCCCGUUCGUCCGUCCGUCCGUCCGUCCAGGUUAAAGUUUAUGGUCAAGGCUGAAGUCCAAUCAACUUGAAACUUAGUACACUUGUUGCUUAUGAGAUGAUCUUUCUAAUUUUUAUGCCAAAUUAGACUUUUGACCCCAAUUUCACGGUCCAUGGAACAUGGAAAAGGAUAGUGCGAGUGGG
rnacentral:lncRNA from 1 species